CCUACGGGAGGCUGCAGUGGGGAAUUUUGGACAAUGGACGCAAGCCUGAUCCAGCCAUGCUGCGUGCGGGAAGAAGGCCUUCGGGUUGUAAACCUUGAGAAGUGGGUACGCGGUACCAGAAGAAUAAGCACCGGCUAACUACGUGCCAGCAGCCGCGGUAAUACGUAGGGUGCAAGCGUUAAUCGGAAUUACUGGGCGUAAAGCGUGCGCAGGCGGUUCUAUAAGACAGAGGUGAAAUCCCCGGGCUCAACCUGGGAACUGCAUUUGUGACUGUAGAGCUGGAGUACGGCAGAGGGGGAUGGAAUUCCACGUGUAGCAGUGAAAUGCGUAGAUAUGCGGAGGAACACCGAUGGCGAAGGCAAUCCCCUGGGCUGACUGACGCUCAUGCACGAAAGCGUGGGGAGCAAACAGGAUUAGAUACCCUUGUAGUC
rnacentral:rRNA from 1 species